AAAACUCAACACUCUAUCUUCAAUUGUUUAACAACUCAAAAGAGUGAUAGUAUUAGUACAGCUAACCUUUUGUUGCUCCAUAUAUUGAACCAGAGGAUAUGUGCACCAGACCAGCAACAGAAGAGAUAAAGACAACAGAUCCAUUUCCAGAUGCUUUCAAAAGAGGGUGAGCAAGUUGACACAGAUGGUAUGCAGAUUCUAAGUUGGUACCAAGCAGACGGGCAUAUUCUUCAGCAGUAUAAUCGGUGGUGGGCUUCCUAAUAUUUGUUCCCACAUUGUUUACCUAUGGCCAGAUAUGACAAUUAUGUGGUUCAAAAAAAUUUACACCGUUCGAUAAUUGGGCCAUCUGAAAACAGAAACAUACAUGUACAAGAGCAACAGAUUGGGAAUCAAAAGUUUCUGUAGAACUUCUUUUUUGCACAAAUAACAAGUAAAAAUCCUUAUGAAGCUUUAAAGGAUCGCAUUAGAAUUUAGAGUCCAAGCAGACGGGCAUAUUCUUCAGCAGCAUAAUCGGUGGUGGGCUUCCUAAUAUUUGUCCCCACAUUGUUUACCUAUGCCCAGAAGAUAUGACAAUUACGUCGUUCAAAAAAAUUUACACUGUCUGAAAAUUGGGCCAUCUAAAAACAGAAACAUACAUGUACAAGAGCAACAGAUUGGGAAUCAACAGUUUCUUCAGGACUUCUUUUUUGCACAAAUAACAAGUAAAAAUCCUUAUGAAGCUUUAAAAGAUCGCAUUGGAAUUUAGAGUCUGAAAACACAUGCGACCACACCAUUCAAAUGAGAACCUUAACAAUCACAUAUAUAGACUAUAGUGUAAGAGAACCUGUCUAAGUAAGCUCUUUUCUAUCUAUAUGUCCUAUUCUUUCACCAUUAAACAAGUAUUAACCAGUGAUGAAUUGGCCAAAAUCCUGAAAAACAUAGACAAAAUAUGUUUAUAAUGGCUAGAUAUCAUUACUAUGCACCCAUGUGCAUGGCGAAUUGGAUGGUGCCCUGAUUUAGCUUAGGUCACUGAUGACUCUAUCACUCAUCAAUUACUGUUAAGGAUCUCUUUGUGAAAAUCAUCCCCAUUUUUUAUGUGUGACUCCUCUUUUUAUGUCCUUAUCUUUUAUUUCUUCCUAAAA
rnacentral:lncRNA from 1 species